UACGGAGGAUGCAAGAGUUAUCCGGAAUUAUUGGGCGUAAAGAGUCCGUAGGUGGCGAUUCAAGUCUGCUGUCAAAGCGUGGAGCUUAACUCCAUUAAGGCAGUGGAAACUGAAUGGCUAGAGUCCGGUAGGGGUAGCGGGAAGUCCCAGUGUAGCGGUGAAAUGCGUAGAGAUUGGGAAGAACAUCGGUGGCGAAAGCGCGCUACUGGGCCGGAACUGACACUGAGGGACGAAAGCUAGGGGAGCGAAAGGG
rnacentral:rRNA from 1 species